ACCAAAGAGGGGGACCUUCGGGCCUCUUGCCAUCGGAUGUGCCCAGAUGGGAUUAGCUAGUAGGUGGGGUAACGGCUCACCUAGGCGACGAUCCCUAGCUGGUCUGAGAGGAUGACCAGCCACACUGGAACUGAGACACGGUCCAGACUCCUACGGGAGGCAGCAGUGGGGAAUAUUGCACAAUGGGCGCAAGCCUGAUGCAGCCAUGCCGCGUGUAUGAAGAAGGCCUUCGGGUUGUAAAGUACUUUCAGCGGGGAGGAAGGGAGUAAAGUUAAUACCUUUGCUCAUUGACGUUACCCGCAGAAGAAGCACCGGCUAACUCCGUGCCAGCAGCCGCGGUAAUACGGAGGGUGCAAGCGUUAAUCGGAAUUACUGGGCGUAAAGCGCACGCAGGCGGUUUGUUAAGUCAGAUGUGAAAUCCCCGGGCUCAACCUGGGAACUGCAUCUGAUACUGGCAAGCUUGAGUCUCGUAGAGGGGGGUAGAAUUCCAGGUGUAGCGGUGAAAUGCGUAGAGAUCUGGAGGAAUACCGGUGGCGAAGGCGGCCCCCUGGACGAAGACUGACGCUCAGGUGCGAAAGCGUGGGGAGCAAACCGGAUUAAAUACCCUGGUAGUCCACGCCG
rnacentral:rRNA from 1 species